AUGAACGCUGGCGGCGUGCCUAAUACAUGCCAGUCGAGCGAACAGACGAGGAGCUUGCUCCUCUGACGUUAGCGGCGGACGGGUGAGUAACACGUGGAUAACCUACCUAUAAGACUGGGAUAACUUCGGGAAACCGGAGCUAAUACCGGAUAAUAUAUUGAACCGCAUGGUUCAAUAGUGAAAGACGGUUUUGCUGUCACUUAUAGAUGGAUCCGCGCCGCAUUAGCUAGUUGGUAAGGUAACGGCUUACCAAGGCAACGAUGCGUAGCCGACCUGAGAGGGUGAUCGGCCACACUGGAACUGAGACACGGUCCAGACUCCUACGGGAGGCAGCAGUAGGGAAUCUUCCGCAAUGGGCGAAAGCCUGACGGAGCAACGCCGCGUGAGUGAUGAAGGUCUUCGGAUCGUAAAACUCUGCUAUUAGGGAAGAACAAAUGUGUAAGUAACUAUGCACGUCUUGACGGUACCUAAUCAGAAAGCCACGGCUAACUACGUG
rnacentral:rRNA from 1 species